CCCAUGUGAGUUCGCUUAAUUAGUUAAUUAGGGUCAGGCCGCUGGGGCACAUUUGUCUCGAUGAAAAGAGCUUCACAGGUAUACUCCUACAUUUUUUUAAAUUUUUUUUUUACAUAUAAAAGAUCUAUAUUUAUAAUAUCACAUAAUUAAAGUCUUAUAAUUUCCAAUAGAAAUAAAGUUAACCAAAUUAAUGACCGUGGAUGCGAACUUUCACGGUUCACUACAGAUUGUAAUCCAAAAUAAUCUUUCACUGUUUGAGCCAAAUUACCAUGUUACCCCAUCUCAUUAAUUCACCCAAACAAAGCCUAUAAUUUUUUUUUUAGGGCAAUUGUGUUCAUGCCCAGCCAACCUUUCCUUUUCUCUCUCUAGAAUCCACCCCAUUUUCUCCCUCCGUACAACAACGAUGUAUAACCCAGAAGAAGAUCACAGAUUCUUCUGAAAGAGUAAUCUAAAACACACAACCUAGUUCAUAGAAUAUUGAAAUCUCUAAACCCAUUGAGGAAGACACCUCUCUCUCUCCAUGGGUUCUGAUUCUCUCUCAAUCUUGACCUCAAAUAAUAAUAAGCCGACACCAAUCAAAACGCACGAAGAAGAAGAUCCACCAAAUCAAAUCACAGCUCUUCUCUCCUUCAACACGACACCUCCUCAACCUCUCCCUCCAAAUCCACCACCACCGCCGCCGUCAUCAUCAUCUCUUUCAUCCUCACCACUUCCGUUGCUAUCUCCGCCGCCGUCUCCUUCGCCUUCAUCUUAUUCUCUGACUAAAUCUGAAUCUCAAUCCCACCCCAAUCAAACCUCUGAAUCAAUUGAAAAUUUUGCUCGUCCUCUCACCAAACUCAACCACCCAGUUGUUCUCCUGAUUUCAUUCGAUGGGUUUCGAUUUAGGUACCAAUUCAAGACCCCGACGCCCAACAUCCAUCACCUGAUCAGUAACGGGACCGAAGCUCAAACGGGUUUGAUUCCGGUGUUCCCAACCGUAACAUUCCCAAGCCAUUACUCAAUUGUGACCGGAUUGUACCCUGCUUUUCAUGGAAUCAUCAUCAACCAUUUUGUUGAUCCGCACACUGGUGCGACCUUCACUAUGAGCAGUCACGAGCCCAACUGGUGGUUAGGCGAACCUUUGUGGGAAACGGUGGUCAAUCACUCUUUCUUUUCUCUAAAACCUAAUUUUUAGGGGCGAACCAACAGCCAAUGCCAAUGCUACAUCCACUAUCGAAGCGAUCGCCACCUCCACAGCCGCCGCCGCAACCUCCACAGCCGCCGCAACUUCCACAGUCGCCGCAACCACCACAGAUACAGUAGCCGUUGGUGUUGAGAUGGUGUUGUAGAGAUUGACGACGGAACUGACGUUGACGUUGACGAUAUCCUUUGAUCAACAAUUGUCACAGCAGGAGGGGCAUUGAAAUCUCGACAAUCUGGACAUCAUCAAUGUCGAUUGGGACAACACCAACGGCUCCAUUCUCGAUCUCAAUAACAUCAACGGCCUACAUCUGUGGAGAUUGCGGCCGGUUGUUGUAGUUGUGGAGGUGGCUGUCGGUAAACAGUGAUCCACAGUCGUCACAGGAAAGAGAUCAAGCUGUUGGGAUCCUCAAGGUGAUUUGAGAGCAGAAAUGAUCAAUUUGAAAGGGACCAAAAGUCCUAUGCAGGUUGCUGUAGCGUUGGAAGAAAUGCCUCUUGCCGGAAUGUAUUCAGUUUCCUUUUACGACUUUCAAGCCAAAUACCAUGAAUUGGGUCAAGAAGCUGAAUACGGUGUUAAUUCUGUUGGAGGCAUCAAAAGCUUUUGUCUUGGGGAAGAAAACAGUCUCAUAUUUAGCACCUAUGGUUCAAGGUUUUUAAUUUACAUUCUUUAAUUUAAUAUAAUUUAAUUUAAUUUAAUUUUGCUUUAUUUUAUUUUAUUUUGCUUAUUUAUUCAUCAAUGUAUUAGUAUUAAAUUAUUUUACUUAAUUAUUUUGCUUUUGAUGCGAUUUCAAGUUUUGAUGUGGAGAAAACGUAUCUGCUUAUGCUAUUUUUUUCUAUGAUUGUUGUCUGGAUAGUUGCCCAGUGUCCCCUUAAAGAUAAUUUUAGCACUAUUUUCUAAGAUUUAUGGCAUGUUUCAACUCCUUUAUUCAACUGUUUUCUCAUCAGUUUAAGAUUUUCCUUCUAAUUGUUCAGGUGAAUUAACGCCGUUUUAAGCAUAAAGUGUUAAUUCAUUCAUUCGUAUGUGAUAGGUUGUUCAUUACUUGUUUAUCUUAGCUUUUGUUAAAAAAAGGAUAUAGAUAUAGAUAUAGAUAUAGAUAGAGGUUCUUGUCCGACAGCGGAUCCAGGUAGGGUGGGUUUAGGCAGCUCCGCCUAACAUGUUAAGCUUUUGGUGGGAUGUAAAGUGCUCCUGGGAAAGUAGUGAUAAAAAAGUUUCAUCAGAGAUUCAGGUGAAGUUCAUUUGCAUUACAAAAUGCCGCAAUAUUUAAAAAUUAUAUAUGAUGAUGUGGAAAGUUCUUUGCUUUCUUUCCUUCCUAGUUGCACUCAAAAUAGUGUAUGGAGGAGUGAUUGUACUUCUUGGAUUAUGAGUGAAAUGAAUAUUUUAUCAAGCAUUACAUAGUUAAAAAUUAGCUUAUCGGUUCGCACUUCACGAUACUUUGGAUCGUGUUCACAACGUGUUUCAUGUUGCGGAAAUUCCUGCGAGAUGAGGAUCGGUAUCAACAUAUCGAUGUGGGGGAGACUGAGUUAUAGCCGGAUGCAACCUAUUUGGAGCCACCGUGUCGUAUUGUCAACUGUCGGGAUCAAAUCAUUCGUAACAAGGUUAUCCCUUUAGUUCGUGUGCAGUGGAGUCAUCACAAUGAGGCAGAGUCCACUUGGGAACAGAAGGAUGUUAUUCGCUCGCAGUUUUCUGAAUUAUGGGAAAAAGGCGUUCGUCAGUUCCAAGGUUAGAGCUUGAACGUGCAGAGCAGAUACAGACACUCAUUCCUCCGAAUACAUUGGAAUACUCUCUAUGUUUAGUUUUAUGUUUCGGUUCAGUUGCUUCAGUUUCAGUUUAGGUUUUUAAUAAGGGGUCCACUGGAUGAAUUUCCCGAAUUGUAACCUUGGAGGAUUUGGUUCAUCGGAUUUUAAUAAUUAUUAUUAAGGAUUUUUAUCUUA